CAGCCCUAAACGAUGCGCGUUAGGUGUAUCGGUGACCACGAGUCACCGAGGUGCCGAAGGGAAACCGUGAAACGUGCCGCCUGGGAAGUACGGUCGCAAGGCUGAAACCUAAAGGAAUUGGCGGGGGAGCACCACAACGGGUGGAGCCUGCGGUUUAAUUGGACUCAACGCCGGGAAGCUCACCGGAUAAGACAGCGGAAUGAUUGCCGGGCUGAAGACCCUGCAUGACCAGCUGAGAGGAGGUGCAUGGCGUAGUCGUGU
rnacentral:rRNA from 1 species